CCUACGGGGGGCAGCAGUGGGGGAUAUUGCACAAUGGGGGAAACCCUGAUUCAGCGACGCCGCGUGAGUGAAGAAGUAUUUCGGUAUGUAAAGCUCUAUCAGCAGGGAAGAAAAAAGACGGUACCUGACUAAGAAGCCCCGGCUAACUACGUGCCAGCAGCCGCGGUAAUACGUAGGGGGCAAGCGUUAUCCGGAUUUACUGGGUGUAAAGGGAGCGUAGACGGCAAUACAAGUCGGAAGUGAAAUACCCGGGCUCAACCUGGGAACUGCUUUGGAAACUGUAUGGCUAGAGUGCUGGAGAGGUAAGCGGAAUGCCUAGUGUAGCGGUGAAAUGCGUAGAUAUUAGGAGGAACACCAGUGGCGAAGGCGGCUUACUGGACAGUAACUGACGUUGAGGCUCGAAAGCGUGGGGAGCAAACAGGAUUAGAUACCCUAGUAGUC
rnacentral:rRNA from 1 species